UACGUAGGGGGCAAGCGUUGUCCGGAUUUAUUGGGCGUAAAGAGCGUGUAGGCGGCCAGGGAGGUCCGCUGUGAAAGUCCGGGGCUCAACUCCGGAUCUGCGGUGGGUACGGGCAGACUAGAGUGAUGUAGGGGAGACUGGAAUUCCUGGUGUAGCGGUGAAAUGCGCAGAUAUCAGGAGGAACACCGAUGGCGAAGGCAGGUCUCUGGGCAUUAACUGACGCUGAGGAGCGAAAGCAUGGGGAGCGAACAGG
rnacentral:rRNA from 1 species